CGGUGGAGCAUGUGGUUAAUUCGAAGCAACGCGAAGAACCUUACAGGUCUUGACAUCCCGAUGCUAUUCUAGAGAUAGAAAGUUACUUCGGUACAUCGGUGACAGGUGGUGCAUGGUUGUCGUCAGCUCGUGUCGUGAGAUGUUGGGUUAAGUCCCGCAACGAGCGCAACCCUUGUCACUAGUUGCCAUCAUUUGGUUGGGCACUCUAGUGAGACUGCCGGUGACAAACCGGAGGAAGGUGGGGAUGACGUCAAGUCAUCAUGGCCCUUACGGCCUGGGCUACACACGUGCUACAAUGGUCGGUACAAAGGGUUGCCAAGCCGCGAGGUGGAGCUAAUCCCAUAAAACCGAUCGUAGUCCGGAUCGCAGUCUGCAACUCGACUGCGUGAAGUCGGAAUCGCUAGUAAUCGUGGAUCAGCAUGUCACGGUGAAUACGUUCCCGGGUCUU
rnacentral:rRNA from 1 species